rnacentral:lncRNA from 1 species
CUCCUCGCAUCACAUGGUGCGCAUGCUCGUGCUGAUGCACAGAGAAUAAAAGCAGCCACGCUAUCUUCAAUAAAC